UACGUAGGUGGCGAGCGUUAUCCGGAAUGAUUGGGCGUAAAGGGUGCGCAGGCGGCCUGUUAAGUCAGCGGUAAAAGCCCGGGGCUCAACCCCGGCGAGCCGUUGAAACUGGCGGGCUGGAGUUGGAGAGAAGUACGCGGAAUGCGCGGUGUAGCGGUGAAAUGCAUAGAUAUCACGCAGAACUCCGAUUGCGAAGGCAGCAUACCGGCGCCCUACUGACGCUGAGGCACGAAAGUGCGGGGAUCGAACAGG
rnacentral:rRNA from 1 species